rnacentral:rRNA from 1 species
GGCCUCAAAUCAGGUAGGACUACCCGCUGAACUUAAGCAUAUCAAUAAGCGGAGGAAAAGAAACUAACAAGGAUUCCCCUAGUAACGGCGAGUGAAGCGGGAAGAGCUCAAAUUUGAAAUCUGGUGGACUUUGUUCAUCCGAGUUGUAAUCUAGAGAAGUGUUUUCCGUGCCGGCCAAUGUACAAGUCCCUUGGAACAGGGCGUCAUAGAGGGUGAGAAUCCCGUACUUGACAUUGAUCACCGGCGCUCUGUGAUACAUUUUCAAAGAGUCGAGUUGUUUGGGAAUGCAGCUCAAAAUGGGUGGUAAAUUCCAUCUAAAGCUAAAUAUUGGCGAGAGACCGAUAGCGAACAAGUACCGUGAGGGAAAGAUGAAAAGCACUUUGGAAAGAGAGUUAAACAGUAUGUGAAAUUGUUAAAAGGGAAACGAUUGAAGUCAG